UCUCUUUUUGCAAGACUCAAUAACUCUUCAGCUUCUUUUCUGCGGCUGCUCCGGUCAUCACCCCACUUUGAAAGAGAAGACAUGACAAAGGGAAGUUACGAGAAGGCCAUUGUUUCACUCCAGAACCUCCUCAG